AUUGAACGCUGGCGGCAUGCUUUACACAUGCAAGUCGAACGGCAGCGCGGGCUUCGGCCUGGCGGCGAGUGGCGCACGGGUGAGUAAUGCAUCGGAACGUGCCCAGUAGUGGGGGAUAGCCCGGCGAAAGCCGGAUUAAUACCGCAUACGACCUGAGGGUGAAAGCGGGGGACCGAAAGGCCUCGCGCUAUUGGAGCGGCCGAUGUCGGAUUAGCUAGUUGGUGGGGUAAAGGCUUACCAAGGCGACGAUCCGUAGCUGGUCUGAGAGGACGACCAGCCACACUGGGACUGAGACACGGCCCAGACUCCUACGGGAGGCAGCAGUGGGGAAUGUUGGACAAUGGGGGCAACCCUGAUCCAGCCAUGCCGCGUGCGGGAAGAAGGCCUUCGGGUUGUAAACCGCUUUUGUUCGGGAAGAAAUCCUCUGGGCUAAUACCCCGGGGGGAUGACGGUACCGGAAGAAUAAGCACCGGCUAACUACGUG
rnacentral:rRNA from 1 species